rnacentral:ncRNA from 1 species
CGCCUGUCGGGACCCGAAAGAUGGUGAACUAUGCCUGAGCGGGGCGAAGCCAGAGGAAACUCUGGUGGAGGCUCGAAGCGAUACUGAGCUGCAAAUCGUUCGUCUGACUUGGGUAUAGGGGCGAAAGACUAAUCGAACCAUCUAGUAGCUGGUUCCCUCCGAAGUUUCCCUCAGGAUAGCUGGAGCCCAUUACGAGUUCUAUCAGGUAAAGCCAAUGAUUAGAGGC